GGCUUGUCUAUGUGAAAGCCUUCGGCUCAACCGAAGAAGUGCAUUGGAAACUGGGAGACUUGAGUGCAGAAGAGGACAGUGGAACUCCAUGUGUAGCGGUGAAAUGCGUAGAUAUAUGGAAGAACACCAGUGGCGAAGGCGGCUGUCUGGUCUGCAACUGACGCUGAGGCUCGAAAGCAUGGGUAGCGAACAGGAUUAGAUACCCUGGUAGUCCAUGCCGUAAACGAUGAUUACUAAGUGUUGGAGGGUUUCCGCCCUUCAGUGCUGCAGCUAACGCAUUAAGUAAUCCGCCUGGGGAGUACGACCGCAAGGUUGAAACUCAAAAGAAUUGACGGGGGCCCGCACAAGCGGUGGAGCAUGUGGUUUAAUUCGAAGCUACGCGAAGAACCUUACCAGGUCUUGACAUCUUCUGACAGUCUAAGAGAUUAGAGGUUCCCUUCGGGGACAGAAUGACAGGUGGUGCAUGGUUGUCGUCAGCUCGUGUCGUGAGAUGUUGGGUUAAGUCCCGCAACGAGCGCAACCCUUAUUACUAGUUGCCAGCAUUAAGUUGGGCACUCUAGUGAGACUGCCGGUGACAAACCGGAGGAAGGUGGGGACGACGUCAAAUCAUCAUGCCCCUUAUGACCUU
rnacentral:rRNA from 1 species